rnacentral:rRNA from 1 species
AGGUCACUGCUAUCGGUGUUCGAUUAAGCCAUGCGAGUCGUGAGGGGUAAAGCCCUCGGCGGAGUGCUCAGUAACACGUGGACAACCUACCCAAGAGUCAGGGAUAACCCCGGGAAACUGGGGAUAAUACCUGAUAGGCCAUGACAUCUGGAAUCGAGUUGUGGUUUAAACGUAAGGCUCUUGGAUGGGUCUGCGGCGGAUUAGGUUGUUGCCGGUGUAACGUACCAGCAAGCCUGUAAUCCGUACGGGUUGUGGGAGCAAGAGCCCGGAGAUGGAUUCUGAGACACGAAUCCAGGCCCUACGGGGCGCAGCAGGCGCGAAAACUCUACAAUGCAGGCAACUGCGAUAGGGGAACAUCGAGUGGCAUCCACCAUGGAUGUCUGUCCAAUCGUCUAAAAAACGAUUGUCAGCAAGGGCCGGGCAAGACCGGUGCCAGCCGCCGCGGUAAUACCGGCGGCUCGAGUGGUGGCCGAUAUUAUUGAGUCUAAAGGGUCCGUAGCCGGCUUUGCAAGUCCUAUGGGAAAUCCAGCGGCUUAACCGUUGGGCUUUCAUGGGAUACUACAUUGCUUGGGACUGGGAGAGGUAGGAGGUACUCAGGGGGUAGGGGGUGAAAUCCUGUAAUCCUUUGGGGGACCACCGGUGGCGAAGGCGUCCUACCAGAACAGGUCCGACGGUGAGGGACGAAAGCUAGGGGCACGAACCGGAUUAGAUACCCGGGUAGUCCUAGCCGUAAACGAUGCUCGCUAGGUGUCACGGCAGUCGUGAAUUGUCGUGGUGCCGUAGGGAAGCCGUGAAGCGAGCCACUUGGGAAGUACGACCGCAAGGUUGAAACUUAA